rnacentral:lncRNA from 1 species
GCUCAUCUGGCCUUCCAGAGGCCAACCCUACUCACUAAAUCAUGUGGUUCAGGGUGAUAUCUUAGUCUGCUGAAAGUGUCUAAGCUCAGGGGAGUCUCUCCUGAAAUAAACACUCCUCUUCAAAAAUAUGUUUUUGGCCUCUUCAAGGUACUUCCCUUCUUCAAAUGGGACAAUCUGAACAUCAGGAGAUUAGAGCACUGGUUUUAUCUGGGUGUGAGCAAGGCUGGACAGAAACUGGGCCCUGUUGCACAGUGAAUCCUAGUUCACUGGUAUGGACUAACUGAAGCUAAAUUAAUUAAUCUCAUUUUCAAGAUUUCAAGGCAGCAUGAUUUGAUUCUAUAUCUCUUCCUCCCAUGAAUUUUCUUGCUGCAUUUUGGAUAAAUAACACUCCCUAGGUUCUGCUCACAAUGGAAUCAUAGCAGAGUGUCAAAGGAAGAGAAUGAGCUCUUACAUCACUGGGAUUGUUCAACUGCCACUUACUCUUAUUUAGCAAGGAAGGAACUACAAUCUGCCUUUUUUUUUUCUUUUAGCCCCAAUUUCCCACUCAAUUCUUUCUAUGAUUACAAAUAUCUUUUAGUCUUUUUUCAUUACAGAGUUACCUACACAUUAAAAUGGUACCUACUUCAUCUUCCUGUCUUGUCUCUUCCUGUAACCCCUUCCAGAGACUUAAUUCAAGGAACGUUGCUAAGCAACAAUACAUCAUAGUAGCCAGUCACCAAUUACUAAUUGUCCUCAGCACUUUAGCCUCACAGUUCUGAACUGCCUGUGACAAUGGCAUGCACUUUGAUGGUCAAAAUCAUAUGUGGAGGCUUCUUAGCCCAGUGAAGAUCUAGGUAGUAAUAACAAUGUACUAUUAUCAUGGCAGUAACAAAGACUUCCAGGCUCACACCAAAUCAUUGCAUGCUUACAAGCCCCAUCAGCUUGGUACUGAUCUCUCCUUCCUGCUCAGGAAAUAAACUGGAGGAAAGAAUAACAUUGAAAAUGCAUGCUGUGGGACGGCAGAAAGGAUACAGGAUAUACUCGAUGCUCUUAACUAAAAGCCCUCCAGCAAGAAUGACCCAACCCCACAGAGUACAAUGCCACCAGACUAAUCUUCCUACAUUCCUACCAGCACUAAGUCAACCAUGGAAAUGUAAGCAGGCUCUCAGAACUCAGCCAUCUUCGGGCCUCCCACAUAUGCGUCUAUGUUUCCUGAACUUUCAUGUUCAACCAGGUAAGCCUGACACACUAAACUUAGGUUGUACUAUUUUAUUCCUGCCUUCAUUCUAUACUCUGUCUAACUGAAGUGAUCUUUCCCCAUCCAUAUCUUAACUAACUCAAAAAUCCAUCUUUUCCUUAAUAUUUUUACCUACAGAGUUUGAUGAAUCUACUACACACAGAAUUUAUUAACAAUGAAAUGAUUAACCAACCUGGAGUCUUCCAGCAUUUUCUCAGAAGUC